CAGCAAGGAGGGACUCCAAUAAG
rnacentral:piRNA from 1 species